rnacentral:pre_miRNA from 1 species
GAUUUCAUCUGAAAAAGUCAUCAAUAACAAAGUUAUAUAAUUCAUCAAGAUCUAUAACUUCCAUUUUGGUCCUUUCUUCAUCCGACAAAGUGAUUUGUAAGAUUGUUCACACAAUGCACAGAAAACUAUAUAAGAGAUGUGUAUUGUGUGAACAAUCUUACAAAUCAAUUUGUCGGAAGAAGAAAUGACCAAAAUGGAAACUAUAUAAGAGAUAUGCAUUGUGUGAACAAUCUUACAAAUCACUUUAUCGGAUGAAGAAAUGACCAAAAUGGAAGUUAUAGAUCUUGAUUAUACAACUUUGUUAUUGAUGACUUUUUCAGAUGAAAUC